UACGUAGGGGGCUAGCGUUGUCCGGAAUCAUUGGGCGUAAAGAGCGUGUAGGCGGUCCGGUAAGUCCGCUGUGAAAGUCGGGGGCUCAACCCUCGAAUGCCGGUGGAUACUGUCGGGCUAGAGUACAGAAGGGGCAACUGGAAUUCUCGGUGUAGCGGUGAAAUGCGCAGAUAUCAGGAGGAACACCAAUUGCGAAGGCAGCUCGCUGGGACGUCACUGACGCUGAGACGCGAAAGCGUGGGGAGCAAACAGG
rnacentral:rRNA from 1 species